rnacentral:tRNA from 1 species
GCCGUGGCCUACUGGUUAGUGCUUCGGACUUGGGACCGGAGGGUUACCGGUUCAAAUCCUGACCAGUAGGCA